ensembl:lncRNA
GUUUAAAUUACUGUAUAUACGAUAUUCAUUAUAGGCUAGCAUGCUUGUUUUAAAGACUGUCAUUCUAGUUUAUUAAAAUCUGAAUGUAAGAAAACCUGGCUAUUCAAAUGUGAAUUGAAAAAUGUUCCAUUCUCAGUACUGAACUAUUUCCAUUGAGCAUUCAGGAUUUUUGACAAAACCGAUAUCAUCAAGAAGGCAAUAGCUAGAGAAAGAGAGGUGCCUUUAAAAAAAAAAAAAUACAAAUUCAGCCUUACAGUGAGGAUGAGGAUUGAGUUGUUUUGUGGGGAAGAGGUAUGAGAGAGUGUGUGAGUGAGUGAGUGAGUGAGUGAGUGUGUGUGUGUGUGUGUGUGUGUGUCGUGAUGUUUGAAUGUUUGCCCAUCUGUGAAGGUCCUGAUUUGUGACCAUCAGUGUCUUUUUAAUGUGUCUGUAAAACUUCUAGGACUUCAGGGGACAUUUCAUGCGCUGUCUUCGUGCUCUUCUGAGCACCAAAAGUACUUUCCAAGAAUUCUGAAUGUGAAUUCCUAGAAAUUUCAGUAGAGAAGAAAAUAACUAUUAUUUCAUUAUAAAUCAAGUUCAGGUAAAAGGAGAUAUUACUGAUUCAUCAAAAUUACAGGCUCUCAUUAAUGUUAGCUAAGUAAAUGUAAUUUUUAAAGGCUCAUUUUUUUUUUUUAGUACUUCAUUUAUUUCCCCUUUACACAAGAGCAUGUCAUGCAAUUCUUAUAUGAUGAAGAUUCAACUAGUAAAAAUUGUUUUUAAAUUAAACACCUGAACUAGUUAAAAUUCCACCUAAGAAUAGUAUUUAAAUGGCAUCUUUCAUAUCUACCUCUUUGUCAUUGCUGCCAUUUUUGACUCAAGCAAAUCUUUAUGACAUCGAAAAUAAUGGUUGGAUGCAAUUUAAAAAAUCUGUGUUGGUGCUUUUCUCAGGCUAUGUCAUUUAAGUUAUAUUGAACAAAGGUGUCACAAAUCAGAUUGAAAGGCUUCGAAUUAAUUUUGAUUUUCUUUUGAAAGAACUGCUUAAAAUUUGUCAUCCAUGUUGAUAGUGAGCUGGAGAUAAUCUCUGGUUAGUAUAUGUCUAUGUGAUGUUUUCAACCAAGAGCCGAGUUGUUAUUGAUUUACAUGGGAAAGGAGCUCUGAUUUCCUUCAACUUACUUUAUUCUUUGAAAGCUGUUUCAAGGCUAUUCAGUACAUAAUCACUCAUUUUAUUUGCUCAGAAGUUGUCUCUGUUACUGUGUUACUUGUUUAGUUAUUUAUAUAAUUGCAGUAUUUUGUUUUAACACUGGGAUUCAGGUUGUACAAAAGUAGUAGCUGACAGAAAUUGUAUGUAUAUUUUUCUGAAAUGUAUCAAUUCCUUAAAUUCAUUUUAGAGGAAGGUCCAGAAAACUAACAUAUCCGUGUUUAAAAACAAAGGUCAGGUCCUUUGUAGAUGAUUUGAAGCAUUUGACUUUUGCUCCUGAAAGUUUUUUAAUUGGCCAUAUAUCCAUCAUCCAGCUGGAUCUCAGUGUCAUUCCUCGGGACACCAGGUUCACAAAGUCUGUUCACAAACAGACUGUAUCUUUUUUUUUUUUUUAAUCCAAAAAAAGCAAAUAUAAAGCCAAACAGAGAUCUCUAGAUCCCACUUACUUAUUCUAGCAGUAUUCCUGAAGUGGUGCUUAAGGGUCAGAAUUUCCUGGAUCUUUGCUAGUCAAGCUUUAGAUUUGAUUUAACUGGGACCACAUGCGUGUCAUCCCUCUGAUGCAAAUUAGAAAGUUGAUUUUAUUUCAGAUUAACUCUGAUGUCUGCCUGGGUUUUUCGCAGGCCGUGAACCAGUGAGUGCCUUGUUAAUGCAGAAUGGUUUUUCCCUGGUUGUGUGUUAGCUCCUCUCUGAAAAUUUCUCAGAGGACGGUAUUUUAGUUGGCUUGUAGAGAGCUGCUAGAUUUGGUAUUAUCAGCAAUCAGAAAGCCUUCAGUCUACCGCAUUCCACCCUCCCUACUUUGUUCUCAUUGUUUGGCUGAAAUUUACCUCUUGUGAGAAAUAAAUGCAACCCCCUUCUCAUAACUUUUUUCCAAUCCAGAUUAAGAGAUACCCUUUAUACCUAUCCCAACUAUAUAAUCUAAUACCUGUUUUUUGUUUUUAGGAAGAACCACUUCUUUGUAAUCCUGUAAUCCACUGCUUGUUUUAUGUUUCUCAAGUUCAGUUUACUAGAGCUGACCUCAGGGCAUCAGUUCAGAUUCCUAAACAGCUCCUUUUCUCCACACCCCUUCACCCCUCUAACUGGUGAGCCCUGAGCCAGAUGGUUUGAUCUUCAGAAGGGAAUCAAGGCAGUUCAGUUGCUAAGUCAUGUCCAACUCUGCGACCGCAUGGACUGCAGCAUGUCAGAUUUCCCUGUCCUUCACCAUCUCCUUGAAUUUGCUCAAGCUCAUGUCCGUUGAGUCGGUGAUGCCAUCCAACCAUCUCGUUCUCUGUCACCCUUUUCUCCUUUUGCCCUGUCUUUCCAAGAUUUGGAAGCUCAUUGGGUCUUUUCCAAUGAGUCAGUUCUUCGUAUCAGGUGGCCAGAGUAUUGGAGCUUCAGCUUCAGCAUCAGUCCUUCCGGUGAAUAUUCAGGAAUCAAGGCAAUAGUUUUUCAUAAAUAAAUAAGG